rnacentral:rRNA from 1 species
AACGAACGCUUGCGGCAGGCCUAACACAUGCAAGUCGAACGCACCUCCCGGUUAGUGGCGCACGGGUUCUUCCGUCGUUGGAAUGUACCCUUUGGUUCGGAAUAACGUUUGGAAACGACCUUGAAUACCGGAUGAGCCCUGCGGGUUUUUGUGUUAUCGCCAAAGGAGCAGCCCGGUUCUUGUUAGCUAGUUGGUGGGGUAAAGGCCUACCAAGGCGACGAUCAGUAGCUGGUCUGAGAGGAUGAUCAGCCACACUGGGACUGAGACACGGCCCAGACUCCUACGGGAGGCAGCAGUAGGGAAUAUUGGACAAUGGGCGGAAGCCUGAUCCAGCCAUGCCGACAGAGUGAUGAAGGCCUUCGGGUUGUAAAGCUCUUUCGCACGCGACGAUGAUGACGGUAGCGUGAGAAGAAGCCCCGGCUAACUUCGAACCAGCCGCCGCAGUAAUAC